AAGAUGGAUUCUUUUUUUUUAAAUUUUUUAGAGGAUUUUCGUUGAUAAUUAUUUCGAUUUGGCUAAUUACGUGAUUAAUGUUUGUUUUUUCGAUGAUUUAUUGUGUAAUUAGAUAUAUUCCGGUGUUUCACGCGUCCAUCUAGUCCAAACCAUGGUGUCAAUGACUUUCCUAAUCAUGGCAUAAUCUUAAUCAUAUCUCAAUCAUCAUCAUUCCAGAGCUGAGGAGAUUAUCCUCGCUCAUCAUUCGGUUAAUUCUUCGAUCACUUUUGGCAUUGAAAUGGUUGAAGCGAUGCUGGAACGACUGACAGCUUGCACAUUCUCCUCAAUCCUCGAUCAAAAGAAGUUCUCGAUUGUAGGAAUAUUUCGCUCUAAAUUCGGCACCGUUCUUCAUCCUCAAGUUGAGGAUUCAUUUUACUAUCUCUUAUUGAACCCGAUACGUUAUUCAUCCGUUGCUGGAAAUUAUUCAAUGCAUUCCAGGCUCCAAUUCCUAUGUCAUGGAAUUGGUGGUCGAGUAGAGAAACACCUGACGAAACUGAAAUCGAAAUACACUGAAAGAAAAUUAAAAUGAAUACGGUUUGUUCAGUUCGACUCUCCAAUCGUCCAUAAUCGAUUUCAGAUGACAAAAUUACUCGAUGACAAAUCCGAACGCAUUAUUUACUGGGAACAUAUUCUAUGCAAUUUUUAAAUCAUACAGAAUGAUAUUGCUGUUCAGAACUGAUGCCAAUUCUGUGGUAGAUUUCUUCCGGCAAUUACCUACGGUGAUCUAGAAAUAUGCCAAACACUCAUAACCAAGCGACGCGACGUUGUAAUGUGAAUUUAGUGUUAGUUUCAUGACGUACCUACUUAUUCGAAGAAUUCUGAAGAAGUGAUAUUUAUCUGCGAAUUCUCAACAAUAGAGGUCUUCGAUCGUAAUUUUUCAAAGGCUUGGUCAAAGUACGACAAAGACAACCGAUUACACCUCCUACGGUCAUCAGUACGAGAGCAAUGAUUGAAAUUGAAAACGCAAUGUAACCACUAUGCCUUGACACAGAAAGAGAAAAACAUUAGGUACCUAUUCCAUUGGUUCACGAACUAUUAUGAUUCCGAGGAGUGAAGAAUAAGAUCCAGCAUCAAGGACCUCUUUUUGAUAUCAUUUUGAAGAGAUGAUCACAAACUACCCCAAAUACCAGGUGUAUUUCGCCUGAAUAAAUUAACAGAAUAUCUCAUCGAGCUAUUAUUUUGAUACUGUUUGUGAUAGUCAUCAAGUUGAAUUGUUCGGUGACUAUUCGAGACAGUGACAAAUUGACAUUUUUCUUUCUCGUGCCAGGAAAAGUGCUAUUGUAAGACGUACUUGAAAAAUAAGCAUUCGUCGUCGUCUCGUCGAGUCAUUUCCACCGGAAUUCGAUACUCGAAGAAGUUGCUGUCGAUUCAUGCUUUAUCUACUUACGUGUUGAAAUUAAU